rnacentral:misc_RNA from 1 species
GAAAGUAAAAGUCGUAACAAGGUUUCCGUAGGUGAACCUGCGGAAGGAUCAUUAUUGUAUAGCCGAGGUGCGAGGGCUGUCGCUGACCCGAAAGGUCGUGCACGCCCGAGUGCCCUCACACACAUCCAUCUCACCCCUAUGUGCACCACCGCGUGGGUCCCCCUUUGGCUUGUUCGGAGGGGGGCUUACGUUUUCACACAAACUUUGUAUGCAGUGUAGAAUGUAUUUUUUGUUUUUGCGAUCACGCAAUCAAUACAACUUUCAACAACGGAUCUCUUGGCUCUC